UACAGAGACUGCAAGCGUUAUUCGGAUUCACUGGGCGUAAAGGGUGCGCAGGCGGUUGGGUGUGUCAGAUGUGAAAUCCCGAGGCUCAACCUCGGAACUGCGUCUGAAACUACUCGACUAGAGUACUGGAGAGGGUAACGGAAUUCACGGUGUAGCAGUGAAAUGCGUAGAUAUCGUGAGGAACACCAGAGGCGAAGGCAAGGUGCUGGACCCUCUCUGACGCUGAGGCGCGAAAGCCAGGGGAGCGAACGGG
rnacentral:rRNA from 1 species